rnacentral:rRNA from 1 species
UACCAGCACCCCGAGUGGUCGGGACGUUUUAUUGGGCCUAAAGCAUCCGUAGCCGGUUCUACAAGUCUUCCGUUAAAUCCAACUGCUUAACAGGUGGGCUGCGGAAGAUACUAUAGAGCUAGGAGGCGGGAGAGGCAAGCGGUACUCGAUGGGUAGGGGUAAAAUCCGUUGAUCCAUUGAAGAACACCAGUGGCGAAGGCGGCUCACUGGCCCGAUACUGACGCUGAGGUGCGAAAGCGUGGGGAGCAAACAGG